rnacentral:rRNA from 1 species
CCUGGUUGAUUCUGCCAGUAGUCAUAUGCUUGUCUCAAAGAUUAAGCCAUGCAUGUCUAAGUAUAAGCAACUUUGUACUGUGAAACUGCGAAUGGCUCAUUAAAUCAGUUAUAGUUUAUUUGAUGGUUUUUGCUACAUGGAUAACUGUGGUAAUUCUAGAGCUAAUACAUGCAUUCAAGCCCCGACUUCUGGAAGGGGUGUAUUUAUUAGAUAAAAAUCAACUUUGUUGGUGAAUCAUAAUAACUUCUCGGACCGCAUGGCCUCGUGCUGGCGGUGCUUCAUUCAAAUAUCUGCCCUAUCAACUGUCGAUGGUAGGAUAGAGGCCUACCAUGGUUGCAACGGGUAACGGGGAAUAAGGGUUCGAUUCCGGAGAGGGAGCCUGAGAAACGGCUACCACAUCCAAGGAAGGCAGCAGGCGCGCAAAUUACCCAAUCCCAACACGGGGAGGUAGUGACAAUAUGUAACAAUAUACGGCCUUAUACGUCGUAUAAUUGGAAUGAGUACAAUUUAAAUCCCUUAACGAGGAACAAUUGGAGGGCAAGUCUGGUGCCAGCAGCCGCGGUAAUUCCAGCUCCAAUAGCGUAUAUUAAAGUUGUUGCAGUUAAAAAGCUCGUAGUUGGACCUUGGACCUGGACAGGCGGUCCGCCUCACGGCGAGUACUGUCUUGCUGGGUCUUUCCUCUUGGUGAUCUGUUAUUUCGGCAGCAGGGAACCAGGACCUUUACUUUGAAAAAAUUAGAGUGUUCAAAGCAGGCUCGACGCCGGAAUAUAUUAGCAUGGAAUAAUAAAAUAGGACGUGCGGUCUAUUUUGUUGGUUUUUGGAAUCGCCGUAAUGAUUAAUAGGGACAGUCGGGGGCAUUAGUACUCACAUGCUAGAGGUGAAAUUCUUGGAUUU